rnacentral:lncRNA from 1 species
GGCACGCAAAGGAUGACCUCUGAAUGAGUCCCCAUAGAAAGAGGAGGUUUUCUCUGCCCAAACACCUCACCUCUUCAGAGCGUAAAUCCUCUGUGUCUUUCCUGCCAUGCAGGUCAGAGACUGCAUUUUGGAUAUCAAGCUCCUGUUGGCUGUGACAGCUUCUCUGACUUUGUUUGUGAUGACUUCGAGAGUCUUAAGGAGAAAUCAUCGGCUAUUUUGUAGAAUGGCCCUCAAGUGUGGUUUUGGCAGGUGAUUUUCUCAUGAUUGGACUGGGGUUGUGGGUUUUUGGAAGGAAGAAUACAGACAUAGUCAUUUCCAUAACAUCCAUUCACUUCAAAGCAAUCCUACGUUUGGGCAGUGCUCAGCAAGGAUGGUUAUUGCUGCUGCACAUGGCAUCAGCUGGAGAAGCUUGAUGCCAGGGUUGGAGAAUCUGCUUUAAAGAUAGCUCUUUUACACAACUGGUAAGGUGGUGUUGGCUGUUGGCUGGGAGCUCAGAAAAGGCUGUAUGCUUCUCCUUGGGCAUCUUGGACUUUCUCAUAAUGUGGUGGCUGGGUUCUAAGAGUGAGUGUCCCAAGAGAGCUAGGCAGAAGUACAUGACAUUUGUAUGACCUAGACUCCAAAGUCACAUAGUGUCAUUUCUACCAUACUCCAUUGAUCAAGGCAGUCACAAAGUCAAACAGAGUUUCAAGAGGAUGGAACGCAGACCUUUCUUUUUGAGGGAGUAAGAAGCUUC